rnacentral:rRNA from 1 species
GCCAGACUCCUACGGGAGGCAGCAGUGGGGAAUAUUGCACAAUGGGGGGAACCCUGAUGCAGCGACGCCGCGUGGGCGAGGAAGUAUUUCGGUAUGUAAAGCCCUCUCGGCAGGGAAGAAGAAAUGACGGUACCUGAAUAAGAAGCACCGGCUAACUACGUGCCAGCAGCCGCGGUCAUACGUAGGAUCCGAGCAUUAUCCGGAGUGACUGGGUGUAAAGAGUUGCGUAGGUGGCAUAAUAAGUAGCUAGUGAAAUCUGGUGGCUCAGCCAUUCAGACUAUUAGCUAAACUGUUAAGCUCGAGACCGUUAGGGGUAACUGGAAUUUCUAGUGUAGGAGUGAAAUCCGUAGAUAUUAGAAAGAACACCGAUAGCGUAGGCAGGUUACUGGGACGGUUCUGACACUAAGGCACGAAAGCGUAGGGAGCAAACGGGAUUAGAUACCCGCGUAAC